AAGGCUUGAACUUGGGUUAAUGUG
rnacentral:siRNA from 1 species